UACGUAGGGUGCAAGCGUUGUCCGGAAUUAUUGGGCGUAAAGAGCGUGUAGGCGGUCAGGUAGGUCCGUUGUGAAAACUCGAGGCUCAACCUCGAGACGCCGAUGGAAACCAUCUGACUAGAGUCCGGAAGAGGAGAGUGGAAUUCCUGGUGUAGCGGUGAAAUGCGCAGAUAUCAGGAAGAACAUCGGUGGCGAAGGCGCUCUACUGGACCACAACUGACACUCAGGGACGAAAGCUAGGGGAGCGAAUGGG
rnacentral:rRNA from 1 species